UGGAGGCCCAAAUGGCAGAGAAAAGAGGGGAAGAGCGGAAAGGACAAAGGCAUAAGGAGCACGAGCGAGUUAUCCGCGUGUGAAUCAGUGAGCCACUGCUCUUCUUCUCCUCACCCACUGGUCCGCUUCGUUUUUCUUUCUUUCCUGUUCAUCGUUUCUGUUUGCUGGGUCUUUCUCUUCCCUUACUUCCCCAAAUACCAUAACCAACCCCAUUCAUCCCUAUUACCAAACCACCACUCAGCCAUAUUACCAACCUUCACCGCCAUCGCCGACGCCGACACUGACACUGACGCCAAGUGUCUUAUGGUCUGAGAAGCUUCCAGAGAGCGAGAGAGGACAAUCAAUCAAAUUCAAACUGAGACAAAACCCCAGAAACGCAAAUGAAAAUGAAAAAUUCCCAAAUCUGAAUGGAAGCCCUUUUCCCUGCGUACGGAUCGUCCGCUCACGCUUGUUUUCGGUUCCUCCGCUUCUCUCUCUUUUUUGCUGGGGGCUGAAUUUAACCGUAGAGACAUUGAAAGCGCGCUCCUGGGCGCGCGGGCGCCUGUUAACCAAUAUAUAUAUAUAUAGAGAGAGA
rnacentral:misc_RNA from 1 species